CCUACGGGAGGCAGCAGUGAGGAAUAUUGGUCAAUGGACGAGAGUCUGAACCAGCCAAGUAGCGUGAAGGAUGACUGCCCUAUGGGUUGUAAACUUCUUUUAUAUGGGAAUAAAACGUUCCCCGUGUGGGAUUUUGUAUGUACCAUAUGAAUAAGGAUCGGCUAACUCCGUGCCAGCAGCCGCGGUAAUACGGAGGAUCCGAGCGUUAUCCGGAUUUAUUGGGUUUAAGGGGAGCGUAGGUGGAUUGUUAAGUCAGUUGUGAAAGUUUGCGGCUCAACCGUAAAAUUGCAGUUGAUACUGGCAGUCUUGAGUACAGUAGAGGUGGGCGGAAGUCGUGGUGUAGCGGUGAAAUGCUUAGAUAUCACGAAGAACUCCGAUUGCGAAGGCAGUUCACUGGACUGCAACUGACACUGAGGCUCGAAAGUGUGGGUAUCAAACAGGAUUAGAUACCCGAGUAGUC
rnacentral:rRNA from 1 species